UUACGGCCGUAUCACGUUGAAACAUCGGUUUUUGUACGAUCACCGAAGUUAAGCAACCUCGAGUCUGAUCAGUACCAACAUGGAUGACUGGUUGGGAAUACCAAGUACUGUAAU